ensembl:lncRNA
GAAAGAGUAUGACCAAAAAGGACAGGGGGACCUCUUACUGUUUAGUAUUUAAGACUCAAUAUGAGGCUGGGAAAAAAAAAAUGGCAAAGCUUUGAAAUGUUGUGCAGACGCCAGCUUUACUGCCGUAUGGAGUCAAAAAGGGGUUUUGCAAUUGACUUUGAAUGGACAGCAGGGUAGGACUGAAGUUUUCAGUGGAGUUACUGCUGUCUCCCUCUCAUCGUUGAAGCGUCCCAUCCAGCACUGCUGGAGGGGACUGAACAUCUGCCCUCAGAAAGGGGCGUAAGACCACGACGAGCGCAGAGCUGAAAGCGAAUGGACAAUCGUGGUUAUUUUGUCUCGGAAGAAAAGCAGCCAGAUAAAGUCACAGAGCGCUUCGUCCCGGGUUUCAUGGAAGACUUAUAGUCGCAGCGUUAGGAAAAAGUUAAAGCAAAGUCGCUUUUUAAAAAAGAAAAAAAGAAAAAAACACAAUAAAAGAUUUUAUUGGAGAGCGACAGCUCUAACACUGCGCACAGCCAUCGGAAGGCAUCAGCAGCACGCUCAAAGCCAAGGGUAAAGCUGUGGCAGCCUCUCCCGUCACGCAGCGCUGCCUACCUGCUCCCACCUCGCCCUGCACCCUUGUUAUGACGGCAGGGGAGAGGGGCCGAGGCCGUCGGCCCACACAAACCACGAGGGAUCCCCAGCUGCGGAGCGGCGCGGUGUUCCAACAGGUUGUUGCGCUGUCACAUACAUCGCAACGAGCCGCUCUGCGCGGCGCCGAGAGCGCAGAUCGAGGCGCGGCAGGUUCUGCUCUGCCACCUAUGAGCCGCUCCGCACGCUGCACCUGGAGCGGGGCUGGAGCUCCGGAUCCCGUGGAGAUCUGCUCCGCUCGGAGCGGCCGGCGUGGAGGAGGCAGCCGGCAGGAGAAAAUACACUCGCGUUUCAUAAAAUAAAUAAAUAAAUAAAUAAAUAAAUAAGACUUUCCAACCAGACCUCGCUGUCAUCUGGGCUAAUUGCGGCUCCGAUACGGCUAUUAGGGCAUACCCACCUUUGCUACCUUUGCUUCCCCACCCACCACCCUUUCAGAUCUCCGUCCUGGCUCCGCCUCUCGCCGGCGUUAUAAUGGGCUGGUCUGAAAGUGGUGGAGAGACGCAGAACCACAGGGGAAGAGGGAGAUAAUGACAAUAACCCCAAUAACCCCCGUCACCCGGCUGCUGCCCGCGCCGCCGCGAGGAGCCGAGCGCUGACGGGGAUAAGCCGGACGGCGAGAGGAGACCUCGGCGUCUCCCGGAGCGUCGCCGGACGGGAGCGGCGGAGCGCCCCGAGGAGCGCCGGGCACCACCGGGGGCGGCGGAGAGGAGAGGCUCCGGUCCGACCCCAUGGAGCCGGCGGCGUGACGAGGCGGGGGAGCCCCUCGCUUCGGGAGGAGGACGCGGAGGUGGCAGCCGGAGCAGCCGCCGCCGCGGAGCUGUCCAAGCGGGCGCGGG